AAUUCUUUAAUAAUAGAGUAAUGAAACUUAAGUUAUGUUUGUACAGAAAACAUUUAAAGAAAAUCAGCUGUAGGCCUUAUGAUGAGAUUCAUACCUGUUCAUUGCAAGCAUACUACUACAGCGUGUUUACAUGACAAGAAUGCCACAACGCUGGGUUUUAAUGCGUUUACAUCAAUGCCAAUAUCUCAAAACAAUAAACACUUAGCAGUGUGUACAAGAAGGCCCAAGUCUCUAAAGAGACACCACUUGACAAUAGGUACAAGCAUGAUCAUGUCAAUAAAAAGACACCACUUGACUGUGUUUAAAAGAAUGAGA